rnacentral:lncRNA from 1 species
GAGGAUGGAGGAGGGGAGCAGCGAGGCCGCCGUCCGGGACGGCGGCGCCCUGUCCGCCCCGUCGGUCGGGACGGAGGCGGUGGCCAGGAAGACGGUGAAGAUGUCCGAGACCCGCGACUUCAUCCCCUGCGCCGACGCCAGCGAGGGUACGCCCGUGCGUCCGGAUCUAGGUCGCGCUGUUCCCGGGGGGAUUAACCAAUAUCUCACCGGCUGAUUCUUUCGCCUCUUCAGGGGAUUCUUCCAGAUCCUCGGGGUCUUCGGCGGCGGCGGCGGACGUCGCCAGCUGCACGGGCUCGUCGGAGGCCGCCCUGCCGGACGACGACGCGGACGCGGACGCGGAGAUGCACCANN